rnacentral:rRNA from 1 species
UACGAAGGGGGCUAGCGUUGUUCGGAAUUACUGGGCGUAAAGCGCGCGCAGGCGGUCUUCCAAGUCAGUGGUGAAAGCCCGGAGCUCAACUCCGGAACUGCCAUUGAAACUGUUAGACUUGAGGACGAGAGAGGUGAGUGGAAUUCCCAGUGUAGAGGUGAAAUUCGUAGAUAUUGGGAAGAACACCGGUGGCGAAGGCGGCUACGCUGGGACGUGACUGACGCUGAGACGCGAAAGCGUGGGGAGCAAACAGG